rnacentral:rRNA from 1 species
AGUGGCGGACGGGUGAGUAACACGUGAGAAUCUGGCUUCAGGAUGGGGACAACAGUUGGAAACGACUGCUAAUACCCGAUAUGCCGAAAGGUGAAAGAUUUAUCGCCUGGAGAUGAGCUCGCGGCUGAUUAGCUAGUUGGUGGGGUAAGAGCCUACCAAGGCAACGAUCAGUAGCUGUUCUGAGAGGAAGAUCAGCCACACUGGGACUGAGACACGGCCCAGACUCCUACGGGAGGCAGCAGUGGGGAAUUUUCCGCAAUGGGCGAAAGCCUGACGGAGCAAUACCGCGUGCGGGAGGAAGGCCCUUGGGUCGUAAACCGCUUUUCUUAGGGAAGAAACCUGACGGUACCUAAGGAAUAAGCCUCGGCUAACUCCGUGCCAGCAGCCGCGGUAAUACGGAGGAGGCAAGCGUUAUCCGGAAUUAUUGGGCGUAAAGAGUCCGUAGGUGGUUCAUCAAGUCUGCUGUUAAAGCGUGCAGCUCAACUGCAUAUAGGCAGUGGAAACUGUUGAACUAGAGUAUGGUAGGGGUAGGGGGAAUUCCCAGUGUAGCGGUGAAAUGCGUAGAGAUUGGGAAGAACACCGGUGGCGAAAGCGCCCUACUGGGCCAUAACUGACACUGAGGGACGAAAGCUAGGGUAGCGAAUGGGAUUAGAUACCCC